UUUCUUAUAGUUUAAUGGUAAAACGCGCAUUUGAUAAGUGUGUGAUGAUAGUUCGAUUCUAUCUAAGAAAA
rnacentral:tRNA from 1 species